UACGUAGGGUGCGAGCGUUAAUCGGAAUUACUGGGCGUAAAGCGUGCGCAGGCGGUUUUGUAAGCCAGAUGUGAGAUCCCCGGGCUUAACCUGGGAACUGCGUCGGAUACUGGAUGGCUUGAAUUCGGGAGAGGGAUGCAGAAUUCCAGGUGUAGCGGUGAAAUGCGUAGAUAUCUGGAGGAAUACCGGUGGCGAAGGCGGCAUCCUGGACCGACAUUGACGCUGAUGAGCGAAAGCUAGGGGAGCAAACGGG
rnacentral:rRNA from 1 species